rnacentral:rRNA from 1 species
CCUUGACAUACUAAGAACUUUCCAGAGAUGGAUUUGUGCCUUCGGGAACUUAGAUACAGGUGCUGCAUGGCUGUCGUCAGCUCGUGUCGUGAGAUGUUGGGUUAAGUCCCGNAACGAGCGCAACCCUUUUCCUUAUUUGCCAGCGGGUCAUGCCGGGAACUUUAAGGAUACUGCCAGUGACAAACUGGAGGAAGGCGGGGACGACGUCAAGUCAUCAUGGCCCUUACGGCCAGGGCUACACACGUGCUACAAUGGUCGGUACAAAGGGUUGCUACCUCGCGAGAGGAUGCUAAUCUCAAAAAGCCGAUCGUAGUCCGGAUCGCAGUCUGCAACUCGACUGCGUGAAGUCGGAAUCGCUAGUAAUCGCGGAUCAGAAUGCCGCGGUGAAUACGUUCCCGGGCCUUGUACACACCGCCCGUCACACCAUGGGAGUUUGUUGCACCAGAAGUAGGUAGUCUAACCGCAAGGAGGACGCUUACCACGGUGUGGCCGAUGACUGGGGUGAAGUCGUAACAAGGUAGGCGUAGAUGA